GAGUCAGUAGGUUGGUCGUGCCACCGGUACGUACUGGUCUCACUGAUUCCUCCUUCCUGAAGAACCGUAAUGCCAUUAAUUUGGUGUUGCGGGGAAACAGGACUGUUACUUUGAAAAAAUUAGAGCGUUUAAAGCAAGCUAACGCUUGAAUACAUUAGCAUGGAAUAAUGAAAUAGGACGAUCGAUCCUAUUUUGUUGGUUUCUAGGAUUGACGUA
rnacentral:rRNA from 1 species